GGCAUUACUGGUGGUGAGUCGU
rnacentral:siRNA from 1 species